AAGUAAGAAACAAUACAUUGUAUUUAGUUUCGACCUAAAAUUAAGGUGAUAGCAACACCCUUACUU
rnacentral:tRNA from 1 species